rnacentral:rRNA from 1 species
GCUGGCGGCAGGCCUAACACAUGCAAGUCGAGCGGUAACAGAAGGAAAGCUUGCUUUCUUUGCUGACGAGCGGCGGACGGGUGAGUAAUGCCUGGGAAUAUGCCUUAGUGUGGGGGAUAACUAUUGGAAACGAUAGCUAAUACCGCAUAACGUCUUCGGACUAAAGAGGGGGACCUUCGGGCCUCUCGCGCUAAGAUUAGCCCAGGUGGGAUUAGCUAGUUGGUGAGGUAAAGGCUCACCAAGGCAACGAUCCCUAGCUGGUCUGAGAGGAUGAUCAGCCACACUGGAACUGAGACACGGUCCAGACUCCUACGGGAGGCAGCAGUGGGGAAUAUUGCACAAUGGGGGAAACCCUGAUGCAGCCAUGCCGCGUGUAUGAAGAAGGCCUUCGGGUUGUAAAGUACUUUCAGUCGUGAGGAAGGCAUUGUAGUUAAUAGCUGCAGUGCUUGACGUUAGCGACAGAAGAAGCACCGGCUAACUCCGUG